CGGAGAGUGCAGCUGCCCGCUUGGCCUUCAGUACUUUGGGUGCAGCUUUUACACCACUUGCCACCGAUGUCAUCGACGCCCUAGAGAAGUUUGUCUGCAUCAUGUACAACACCACGUGUUCCCGGGUCAAUGAUGCCAGGUACCAGCUGUUUUGCACAAGGAGUCUGCAAUCCAACCAACUGCCACCCUGCAAUGACGCCCUUCUAAAGCACUGCUGCCGCUCCAAUUACCAAGCUGGUAUUUGGAAGCGAUGCCUCUUGUCACAUGUGGAUGCACCAUCACCGAAUGAGAAAGAACAAGGCUGGCACCUAGAAAGCAAUGGGACAUUGGCAGUUGACUGGUUAAGCCUGCCACCUGCUCCAAAGUCAAUCCUAGAGUUCCUCCGGUGCGGGUGCAAAACUGGUUGCAGCAGUGGCAACUGUUCGUGCCGCCGGCAUAUGCUGUUGUGUACAGAUGCUUGCACCUGUCGGCACCACUCUUCAGUAGUAUGCACAAACUACCCAGAGCAGCAUGCAGCAUUGCCUACGACCCAACACAUCUCACCUGAAACUGAUUUGGUCUGCAGUGACACAGCUCAUGACUGAUAGCAGCCAGCCAACCGUAAGGAUUCGGGACUGACAAACUUGUUGAGCAAUCAUGUGCAUGAUGGAUAGCAGCCAGCUCUAGAGUGUCCCACCACCUCUGGGAUAUCUUGCAACAAAUCUUAUGACAGAUCUGUGUCAGCAUCAGUGGAUGCCGGAACUGUCUUUCUUUGGCCGACAACCGCAUCCCGCAGCACGGGUGAUAGCACAUCUUCUUCUUAUCAUAUUAUCUACAUGACUGUAAUAUUGUCAUUAUAAUUUAACCUGUACCUUCAUUUUAAAUUGUUUCCAGAGGACCUAUGAUCUUCUUACUGGAGCUCCUAUACCAGAAAAGUUAGGCAUGAAAUAUGAUCGGAAUGUCCGGAGACCCAUGAAAGCGUGACAGUAAUAGUAACUUUACAGAUUAUGCCAGUACUAAGACUUUAUUAUUAUAAUCAGAGACUUCAUGCUAGGAAAUAAUAAAUUAUCCUUCUAGUGUACUUGUCCUAUUUCCUAUUUUGUGCAGGCUCCUUGUUGUAUAAUAUGUUCUCAAAUGUGACAUACAUUAUUACAAUGUAUUACUAUUGUGAAAUGACCCAAAGGCAGUAUGCCUAUCGAGGGGUUCAUUUGAUUGAAAGAACAGUACUACUACUAG